AAUGAACGCUGGCGGCAUGGAUUAGGCAUGCAAGUGGAACGGGCACUUCGGUGUCAGUCGCGAAAGGGUGAGUAACGCGUGAACAAUCUGCCCUCAAGUUUGGAAUAACUUCUGGAAACGGGAGCUAAUACCAGAUGUGGUCAUUUUAAGGCAUCUUGAAAUGACUAAAAGUUUACUGCUUGAGGAUGAGUUCGCGUCCCAUUAUGCUAGUUGGUAAGGUAACGGCUUACCAAGGCUAUGACGGGUAGGUGGUCUGAGAGGAUGGUCACCCACACUGGAACUGAGAUACUGUCCAG
rnacentral:rRNA from 1 species